rnacentral:rRNA from 1 species
AUUGAACGCUGGCGGCAGGCCUAACACAUGCAAGUCGAGCGACCGGCGGUCGGGUGCGUAAUGUAUGGGGACUGCCCGAUGGAGGGGGAUAACUACUGGAAACUGUGGCUAAUACCGCAUACUAUCAGAUACCCCAUAUGGGAUUAGCUUGUAGGUGGGUUAAAGGCUCACCUAGGCGACGAUCCCUAGCUGGUCUGAGAGGAUGAUCCGCCACACUGGGACUGAGACACGGCCCAGACUCCUACGGAGGCAGCAGUGGGGAAUAUUGCACAAUGGGCGCAAGCCUGAUACAGCCAUGCCGCGUGUAUGAAGAAGGCCUUAGGGUUGUAAAGUACUUUCAGCGGGGAGGCGUUACCCGCAGAAGAAGCACCGGCUAACUCCGUGCCAGCAGCCGCGGUAAUAC